GCCUGGGUGGCUCAGUUGGUUGAGUGUCCGACUUCGGCUCAGGUCAUGAUCUCACAGUCUGUGGGUUCGAGCCCCGCGUCAGGCU
rnacentral:tRNA from 1 species